rnacentral:sRNA from 1 species
UUCAGGCGUUCGGACCAUCCUUCAUUGCGGGGUUCGGCGAGGCGAGGGGAGGUGUCCGGCGUCAGCGCGAGGCCCAGCGCGACGCCGCCGCCCUUGAGCGGCUUGGCGGCGGCGAACUGGCUCUUGCGCGACCAGGCGGUGAAGGCCUUGCGCUGACCGGUGACGACGUCGGGCAGGUCGCCGAUCGCCGCCUCCAGGGCGGCCAGGACAGCCGUCGAGGCCGGAUCGGUCCACAGCGCCGCACGCAGGCCGUCCGCGUCGUCCCACCCCAUUUCGGCCGGGAAGGCGACGCCGAAGAUCGUCGCCGCGCGGUUCUGGCCGAUCCCGUAGGUGGCCUUCAGCCAGUCGGUGCGGGCCUUGGGCUUGGUUUCUUUGCAUUCGCGGCGGACGAUCUCGACCCAUUGCUCCAGGGUCUUGCCGGUUUCGCGCUCCAGAUUGGCGCGAACCGAGGCGAACCAUUUCUGCUGCUGCUCGGUCAGGCCCUG